rnacentral:rRNA from 1 species
GAUGAACGCUGGCGGCGUGCCUAAUACAUGCAAGUCGAGCGAACAGACGAGGAGCUUGCUCCUCUGACGUUAGCGGCGGACGGGUGAGUAACACGUGGAUAACCUACCUAUAAGACUGGGAUAACUUCGGGAAACCGGAGCUAAUACCGGAUAAUAUAUUGAACCGCAUGGUUCAAUAGUGAAAGACGGUUUUGCUGUGACUUAUAGAUGGAUCCGCGCCGCAUUAGCUAGUUGGUAAGGUAACGGCUUACCAAGGCAACGAUGCGUAGCCGACCUGAGAGGGUGAUCGGCCACACUGGAACUGAGACACGGUCCAGACUCCUACGGGAGGCAGCAGUAGGGAAUCUUCCGCAAUGGGCGAAAGCCUGACGGAGCAACGCCGCGUGAGUGAUGAAGGUCUUCGGAUCGUAAAACUCUGUUAUUAGGGAAGAACAAAUGUGUAAGUAACUAUGCACGUCUUGACGGUACCUAAUCAGAAAGCCACGGCUAACUACGUG